rnacentral:rRNA from 1 species
UGGCGGACUGGUGAGUAACGCGUGAGGAACCUGCCUUUCAGAGGGGGACAACAGUUGGAAACGACUGCUAAUACCGCAUGACGCAUUUUGAUCGCAUGGUCGAAAUGCCAAAGAUUUAUCGCUGAAAGAUGGCCUCGCGUCUGAUUAGCUAGUUGGUGAGGUAACGGCCCACCAAGGCGACGAUCGGUAGCCGGACUGAGAGGUUGACCGGCCACAUUGGGACUGAGAUACGGCCCAGACUCCUACGGGAGGCAGCAGUGGGGAAUAUUGGGCAAUGGGCGCAAGCCUGACCCAGCAACGCCGCGUGAAGGAAGAAGGCUUUCGGGUUGUAAACUUCUUUUAAGUGGGAAGAGCAGAAGACGGUACCACUUGAAUAAGCCACGGCUAACUACGUGCCAGCAGCCGCGGUAAUACGUAGGUGGCAAGCGUUGUCCGGAUUUACUGGGUGUAAAGGGCGUGCAGCCGGGCAUGCAAGUCAGAUGUGAAAUCUCAGGGCUUAACCCUGAAACUGCAUUUGAAACUGUAUGUCUUGAGUGCCGGAGAGGUUAUCGGAA